CGGAACAUAGCUCAAGUGAAAAAUAGUUGGAGAGAGCAAGGAUAUUUCAAAUCUGAUGUGGAGGUUCGAAUCCUCCUGUUCCGA
rnacentral:tRNA from 1 species